GUCGUCGUAGCUCAGCGGUUAGAGCAUUGCUUUGAUAAAGCAAGGGUCGGAAGUUCAAAUCUUCUCGGCGACUCCA
rnacentral:tRNA from 1 species